rnacentral:rRNA from 1 species
GAUGAACGCUAGCUACAGGCUUAACACAUGCAAGUCGCGGGGCAGCAUGGGGGUUGCUUGCAAUCCCCGAUGGCGACCGGCGCACGGGUGAGUAACGCGUAUCCAACCUGCCCUUCACCACGGGAUAACCCGGCGAAAGUCGGACUAAUACCGUAUGUUGUCCAUUGACGGCAUCCGAUUUGGACGAAAGGCUUGGCGGUGAGGGAGGGGGAUGCGUCCGAUUAGCCAGACGGCGGGGUAACGGCCCACCGUGGCUACGAUCGGUAGGGGUUCUGAGAGGAAGGUCCCCCACACUGGAACUGAGACACGGUCCAGACUCCUACGGGAGGCAGCAGUGAGGAAUAUUGGUCAAUGGGCGUAAGCCUGAACCAGCCAAGUAGCGUGCAGGAUGACGGCCCUAUGGGUUGUAAACUGCUUUUAUGCGGGGAUAAAGUGGCCCACGUGUGGGCUUUUGCAGGUACCGCAUGAAUAAGGACCGGCUAAUUCCGUG